UAAAAAGCAGAGAACGAAAAGAGUAGCAGCGGCAGAAACUUUCCAGAGAGAGACGGUCACCGGCUGAGAGCGGUCUUAAGCGGAGCGGUUGUGAAGUGCAUUCGGGAGCUGACUUUGUGAGAGCAGAAUAAAAGUAAUCCGGAACAGGAAAGGAUCAAAAAGUCCUGCUGCCAGCAAAGUACGUUUGGCGGACGUUACACGCCGUGAGUGAAAGGAUUGUUUUAAUUCUUUUAAUAGAGUGGAACCGCGGAUAAACUUCGUCUCUUAG
rnacentral:ncRNA from 1 species